rnacentral:rRNA from 1 species
UACGAGUGCCUCAAGCGUUAUCCGGAAUUAUUGGGCGUAAAGGGUGUGUAGGCGGUCUUGCUAGUCUUGUGUUAAAACCAGAAGCUCAACUUCUGAUAUGCACAGGAAACGGCAAAACUAGAGUGCGCGAGAGGUUUGCGGAACUCAUGGUGUAGGGGUGAAAUCCGUUGAUAUCAUGGGGAACACCAAAUGCGAAGGCAGCAAACUGGCGCGUCACUGACGCUGAAACACGAAAGCGUGGGUAGCGAAUGGG